GAUGAACGCUAGCGGCGGGCCUAAUACAUGCAAGUCGAACGGGAAAGGUGGCAACACCUUGAGAGUGGCGUACGGGUGCGUAACGCGUAUACAACCUGCCUGUUACACGGGGAUAGCCUUGCGAAAGCGAGAUUAAUACCCGAUGGUACUAUUGAGCGGCAUCGCUUGGUAGUUAAAGCUGAGGCGGUAACAGAGGGGUAUGCGUCCCAUUAGCUAGUUGGUAGUGUAACGGACUACCAAGGCGACGAUGGGUAGGGGUUCUGAGAGGAUGAUCCCCCACACUGGUACUGAGAUACGGACCAGACUCCUACGGGAGGCAGCAGUAGGGAAUAUUGGGCAAUGGACGGAAGUCUGACCCAGCCACGCCGCGUGCAGGAAGAAGGUCCUCUGGAGUGUAAACUGCUUUUCUUGGGGAAGAAAACCCUUCUGCGGAAGGAAUUGACGGUACUCAAGGAAUAAGCAUCGGCUAACUCCGUG
rnacentral:rRNA from 1 species